GGGACUGUGGGGUAGCUUGGCGAUCCUUCCGGCUUAGGGAGCCGGAGACCGGAGUUCAAAUCUCUUCGUCCCG
rnacentral:tRNA from 1 species